UAGGAGAGUAUAUGCCUUGGAUGUGGUUGGUAAAAUACCAGAGGAGUUGCAAAACUUGACAUAUCUCACUUUCCUCAUUGAAGCAUGCAUGCAUGGAAGUUGAAGUUGUUCAGUUGGCUGGCAAGCAUGAUUGGUGACAAAAGGUUUCAGUUCAACUUGUUUUUCUUUUUUGGAAUUUAAGUAGCUGAUUAUAUUUGGAACUGAGUCAUCCUUUCUCGGCUACUGACUCGGCGGCGACAUCUGUCAUCAUACCUUUAUUGCAAACUCAUUUCACGAGUACAAGUGUUCGAGAGGUUGGAUCAAUAGGUCUUCUCUCCCAUCCUUGAAUUUUGAACAAUUUAUAUGUAGACUUAUUUUGAAUUUGCAAUUUUAUUUAACUCUUAAAAUAUAUAUUUUCAAUAGUAUUCAUGUGACUAUAUUAUUG